CUUAACUUGGAGUCCGAACUCUCACUUUCUAACCCUGUGCACUUGUUUGGGAUAGUAACUCUCGCAAGAGAGCGAACUCCUAUUCACUUAUAAACACAAAGUCUAUGAAUGUAUUAAAUUUUAUAACAAAAUAAAACUUUCAACAACGGAUCUCUUGGCUCUCGCAUCGAUGAAGAACGCAGCGAAAUGCGAUAAGUAAUGUGAAUUGCAGAAUUCAGUGAAUCAUCGAAUCUUUGAACGCACCUUGCGCUCCAUGGUAUUCCGUGGAGCAUGCCUGUUUGAGUGUCAUGAAUACUUCAACCCUCCUCUUUCUUAAUGAUUGAAGAGGUGUUUGGUUUCUGAGCGCUGCUGGCCUUUACGGUCUAGCUCGUUCGUAAUGCAUUAGCAUCCGCAAUCGAACUUCGGAUUGACUUGGCGUAAUAGACUAUUCGCUGAGGAAUUCUAGUCUUCGGAUUAGAGCCGGGUUGGGUUAAAGGAAGCUUCUAAUCAGAAUGUCUACAUUUUAAGAUUAGAUCUCAAAUCAGGUAGGACUACCCGCUGAACUUAAGCAUAUCAAU
rnacentral:rRNA from 1 species